rnacentral:rRNA from 1 species
GUCACGCCCGAAGUCGUUACUCCAACCUUCGAGGAGGAGGAUGCCUAAGGCAGGGCUAGUGACUGGCGUGAAGUCGUCACAAGGUAGCCGUACCGGAAGGUGUGGCUGGAUCACCUCCUUA